rnacentral:misc_RNA from 1 species
AAAGUCGUAACAAGGUUUCCGUAGGUGAACCUGCGGAAGGAUCAUUACAGAGAACUUGCCCUCCGGGGUAGAUCUCCCACCCUUUGUCUACCAUACUUUGUUGCUUUGGCAGGCCCGCCCUUCGGCCGCCGGCUCCGGCUGGUCAGUGCCUGCCAGAGGAUCUCGAACUCUUGAUUUUAGUGUUGUCUGAGCACUUGAUAAUAGUUAAAACUUUCAACAACGGAUCUCUUGGUUCUG